CAAGGCUUUAUAACAAGCUAUCUCCACUAAUUAGCUGGGUUACCAAUUAUUUGAGCUUUGCCAGGCAUGUUGAAAACAAGGAGAAAAUAAUAAUGAUAGUACUUAGAAUGGGGUAAGACUAUAAGGGAAGUCAUUUUCCUUCCCCUCUAAUUGCUGUGAAGAUCUACAGAGGGGAAUUCAAAUUGCUGAUGCUGAAGACAGACAAAAGACAGACAAAACUGAACCUCUCAGGGAAGGGUUUGACUGGGGGAGGAAAACAGUGCUGGCAAUUGCUAGGCUCUUUUGCAUGGUUUCUUGAAGUGUUAUACAGUGAUUCAUGGUUUUUCACAAUGUUUAUGAAGAAGGACACAUUUUUUAGAUUUGUUUUCAGCCUUCCAUAAAUUCCUCCCAUUAUUAUGUCUCCCCAUUACUGGGCCAUCCAUACGUUCACUGCCUAUGAAAUCUUAUUAGGUGAUUAGUUGAGAAUGUUUUAGUGCAUUAGAAAAAAAACAAUCACCAGAGAGCUUAAUAUAAUUUGUGUAAAGGGUAGUUCUCUGUCUCCUGUCACUGGAGUGGUUAACUGGGAAUGUAUUUGGGACAGCAACAGCCCUACGAGUUCAUGCAGGAGGGACUGUGAGGCAGAAGGAAUUCAGACGAAGAUUCGUGCUGCAGCUAAAACCACCAGUCAGAGUCUGCCAAAAGGGGUGGUCCUGUCCCCUUUGUCCUUGGCCAUGUUCUUGCUGCUUCUGCUGCAUCAGUGAGACAGCAGCCAGGAGAUUUCUCUGAUGUUCCUGAACAACCAGAGGGCCCGAAGGAAGCUGCCUCCAGGACCAACACCUCUCCCCUUCAUUGGCAAUCUGUGAACGCUGAGCUUCCAAACUCACCAUGAAACACUCUUGAAGUGCACAGACUUGGAAGGAAUACAUUAGUAAUGUUACCUUAAUGUGGCCUACACACUGCAGCUGCCAAACGAGACCCACAGAACUCUUUCCUUUCUCCAUGUGCUGCUGGAGGAAAAACCAGGAAGGAUUCAUGCUCAGGAUUCAUGCCAUGUCUCCAUCCCUGGCUCUCCUCUCUGCAGCAGCCUUGGAACAAGGAUAAUCAUUAAAUCUGGGAGCUGUGCAAGAUGAUGCAUCAUUGAGGCUCCCUGCUUUCCUGUGUGCACAAAAGAAACCACAGAUUCUGCAGUUCCUUUGGGUACUAGAUGGAAUCCAAUUCAGGAAUUCAAGCACUUGUUUUUUUCUUUCCUCUCCACCUUACUUGAGCUAUUAAUUAAAAGACUGGACUUCCCACUGCUGUGAAAACCAUUCUGCAAAUUACUCUCCCCUGCAGAAAACAGCCUUUGCUCACAACAAGUGGCAGCAGCUAGGCACCUCAUUAUAUUUGCAUGUGUUUUCACUAUGGUCAGCAUAUUUCAGAAUCCCUUUUCAACAUCUUUGUUUCCCACAAAGGAGGAGGCCUGCACCCACCUCCAGAGAGAUGUAGUCCUGCCUACAGAUGUUCCUGAGCAACAUAUUUGAGAUCAGCAACACACCAUUACCAGUGGAUUCCUAAGGGCACUUUGCAGAAGCCAGGACACGUGGAAACUGUGUAGUAAAACUCGUAACAGCUUUAUGAAUAGCCUGUCUUCACCAGUUCCCUGGCCCCCCAAGGGCAGAGAUAUGCUUUUUCAUCUUUCAUCUGUCCAUCAUAUGAAGUGCUACAAGUGUUCAUAAAAAAAGGUCACACUUUUAUAUAUAUGGUUACAUAUGUGUGCAUGUAUAUGUAGUUACAUAUGGCUUGGUAUUGCAUAUACAUGUACAUGUAAAAUGAAAAUCAUGUGCAGGCAUGAUCUUUAUUCAUCACCCUACUCCAUACUUCAAAAUCCUUGAAACAGAUGUUCAGAACUCCUUACCUCCCAUCCCAUACAGUAGCAAGCUCUAGCUGAUGUUGUUGUUAUUUGAACUCCUAAUGCUUUGAGCGAGACACCACCACCUCUUCCCUCCCUCUGUGCAAUUAAGUCUUUCUCAACUACCCAAGGUUGAAGAGUUCAAAACUGGUCUCUGAUUUAUGGGUGCCAGAGCCUUGAUGUGAGGAACUAGUGAGACCCCAAGCUCCAGCAGCCACCGGUAGGAUCGGAUGGCUGGCCACUCGUGGUUCGCAGGCCACCCACGAUUCCCAACACAUCUCAAAUGAGAUGCCCCGCAUCAGUGGCAGUGUUUGAAAAGUUUGGCUCAAUUGCUUCCCUGUGUGAGACCUGACAAGCACACUGCUCAGUGCAACGGUGAGCAAACAUUACCAUCUAAUGGCUGCUGGUGUUAAUUACAACUAUAAUUUCUGUUUUAACAAUGAAGGCUGUUCCUUGUCUAAGCACUGGUACUCUGAAAACACUGUAUGACUGGAAAACAAAUGACCAUGGAAAGGUAGUAAAAGCAAUGUUUAUGAUUUUGCUGUAUCCAUCAAUCGUCUCUGGUGGGGCAAUGUAAAUGGAAAAAAAAUCCCAUUGAACUGUUUCUGGGUAACGUGACACAGUUGCUUUGUUGGCUAUAUAAACUGCAGAUACAUGAAAAAUAACAGUCAUAAAUAGUAAUGUAUGUAUUAAUAAUAGUGAAAGCCCUCUAGCAUUUUAACAGUGAAACACGAUCCCAAACUCUUUUAUUUCCUUAGAGCAGGAUGAAGUGGCUCCUGUCCCUUUCUCAUGCAAUGGCAAGGACCGCAAAACAGCCCUACAUAAUAGAAAUGGUCUUUGAGCUCUGGUCUAAGAGUACCACUACGAUGCAGAAGGCAGACACAGCCUCUCUGUAAAUGUCUUAUAUCUUUAUGUCAUUGUGUGUUUUGUUGUCCUAGGGGGCUGGGCUCUACAGAAACGUAUACACACCAUGGCUAGGAUUAA